UACGUAGGAUGCGAGCGUUGUCCGGAAUUACUGGGCGUAAAGCGCGCGUAGGUGGCGCCAUACGACCGCUGUGAAAGCCCCCGGCUCAACCGGGGAGGGUCGGUGGUAACGGUGGUGCUGGAGUGCAGGAGAGGGAAGUGGAACUCCGGGAGUAGCGGUGAAAUGCGUAGAGCCCCGGAGGAACACCAGUGGCGAAGGCGGCUUCCUGGCCUGUGACUGACGCUGAGGCGCGAAAGCUAGGGGAG
rnacentral:rRNA from 1 species